rnacentral:lncRNA from 1 species
AAUUCUUGGCAUAAGUUUCAUGCAAAUCAUAGUAACGAGUGCCUCGUCAAUGCUUAUGUUUUUCAUAGAACUCAAUGAUUCUUGCUUGUAUCUCUAUUAUGCAAUUCAUGUAGGGAACUUGUAGGAAAUGUUUUGGGUUGUCGUAUGCGAUCAUCCAACCUAAUAACUUGUGGAAAAACUGAGGGUUAAUUAGUGCAAUUCACGGUUAAUUUGGGGCAUUGAGUAUUCAUAGUUUAUCGAAAAGCAACAGGAAAUCGUUUUGUAUGCAAGUGUGACAUGUGUGGAGAAGAACCUCCUAGCUAGCCUUCCAUCCAUAAGUUUCAUUCAAAUUCAUUUUACAAUCUGUUUUGAUUCACUUAAAUUUGUCUAAGAAUUUGUUUACUUUGUUCUUUUCUUAAUUUAAUUAUUUUCGUCCAAAAUCAACCCCUUCUUAUUUCUUUG